GAAUAAAAACAGGCUGCCUGAGCCAGGAGAGGCAACUCACUGGCGUCCUGUUCCAUGCUGUGGAAGCUUUAUUCUUUCAGUCUUUGCACUAAAUCUUGCUGUUGCUCACUCUUUGGGUCUGUGCCGCCUUUGUGAGCUGUAACACUCACCGCAAAGGUCUGCAGCUUCAUUUCUGAAGCCAGCGAGACCAUGAACCCACUGGGAGGGACAAACGACUCUGGAUGGGAGGAAUGAACAAAUGCAGACUUGCUGCCUUCAAUAGCUGUGACACUGCGAAGGUCUGCAGCUUCACUCCUGAAGUCAGUGAGACCAAGAACCCACCAGAAGGAAGAAACUCCAGACACACCAUCUUUAAGAACUGUAACACUCACCGCAAGGGUCCGCAGCUUUAUUCUUGAAGUCAGUAAGACCAAGAACCCACCAAUUCCGGACACACAGCCAUGGGAAAAGGAUGGAGUUAUGACUGAUACAAAAGGAAUCGUUCAUCUCUGCAAACUAAUUUUAGUUCAUCUUCGUCUCGAUGGCCAAAAUCUCAAUAAAUCCCUGGCAGGUAUUAUGCGUGAAUAGAUGGCACUACAUGACAAAAGUUGAGUACCACUGAUUGGCAAGCAAUGAAUAAGAGUUCCUGUUUCUCCACAUCCUCACCAGCAUUUGAUGUUGUCAGUGUUCUGGAUUUCAGCCACUCUAACAGCCCGUCUCUUUUCACAUGACUCCAAAUUUGGCAAUUGUCAGCAGAUGUAUGAAGUUGUGGGAAGACACCAAUGACCCAUCUCAUCUUCCUUCCCUCUGCAAUUCUCAAACGCAAGUAAUAUCAGCUUGUCUGAAAGAUGUUAUCUGUCCAAAUAGUUUUGAUUAUUUGCCCUCAGUGUUUUUGUUACACAUAUUUUACAUGAUGUCAGAACAUAACAUUUUCAGGAAAAAAACAGCCUAGGGAAUCCACAAAGUUCACUGAGCAUAAACAUGGUUUACUAGCAUCAUACUAGGUCAGUUCCUUUAAAAGAGGCUACCUAGAAUAUUUAGUGGCCUCUCUAAAGUUUUUUUGCAGCAUUUUGUUUUAAAAUGCCAGGGUUUAGCUUCAUGAUCCUUUGGGCUUUUAAAGAAUAGUUGCCUUCAUCUUUUAAGGAUGGCAGUGGUAUAUUGGGAGAAUAUAUUUUGAGAACAGUCAUUUUCCUGGCUCAGAAUCCUUCUUAUGUGGUGUUACAAAGAUUGGUGAUAUUUUUGUUAUGAUUUUUAAUAAUUCUAACAAUUUCUUCAUUCCCUUAACUAAAAGAAUCUGCCAUCUCCAUUCCUUCCCCACCAUGUUUCAAAUUUGCUUAUUCACCCUUAGAAACAAUACUUCUCUGUUAAAGUCACAUUGUGUGACAGUGAGGUUUCAAGAGUUCUGGUUAGGCAUUUUGUAGAAUGGCCUUCAUUUUGCAUUUGCCUCACAUUUUCUUAUGAUUACACUGAGGUUAUGAAUUUUUCCAAAGAACCCCACAAGGUGAAGCAUUUUUCUCAUUGCAUCAUGUCAGAGGACAGAUGAUAUUAAUGUGAUUUAUCUCUGGUGAUUUUAACUUUGAUCACUUGGUUAAGACUGUAUCUGUCAGGCUUCGUUCUUAUGUUUUUCCCAUACUAAAUAACAAUUGCAAUGCUUACCUAUGGUGGACAGUGCCUCCUGAGUAUGUUCUCUUUGAUGAUUUACAUUCAGUUCUUAUGAGUACCUGUCUGUGGCUGUCAAUCCUCUCCAUGAGCUUGAAUGUACCUGCCUCCUCCUCAAAGCUACAUGUAUGUUACUUCAACAUUCCUUUAAGGGGAAAGAAAAAGUGGUUCUUUCACAAAGUUUGUGUGAAUUGUCAUCAAUAUUUGACACACAUGCCUGCUCAGCAGCCUCAAGCUAGACAGCAUGUAUGUGGGAAGGAGCAUGGCACAUAGUUGGAAGUACUUUGUGUUUGCAAGUUACAUUGAUGCUACUGAAUCUAAACAUUGAGACCUGGACCAACAAGCCAAGAACCAUCCCAUGCAACUCCCAGUGCAGAUAGCUUCUGCAUAUUAAUUAGUUGAGCAUUUACAGCACCCCUAAUUAGAAAGCUCUAUCACUUUUUAUAGCUAGUACUUGGCCAGGCAGUGGUGAUGCUUAAUGUUGUGAAGGAUCUCGUAACCAAAGUGAAAAGUCCCAAAUCAAGGGAGUCUCCCACUUUGGGCAAACCUUCUCAGAGACUAAUGCAUAAAGAUAUAGAAAUCAAUAAAUUUCAUGCCCAAUGUUUAGGUUACUUAGUUAGCAAUGCCUUAGAGGUUAUCCUGCCUAUCAUUUCACCCUGUGAAGAAAAUUACUACUCCUUAGUAUUUUUUUCCACAUAAAGAAGUUGAUUUAUGAUUUGAUUUUUACAUGUUGUCUGCAAAUUAACGUAUGAUCAUGAGGAUGGAUGUGGUGGCUCACAUCUGUAAUACCAAUACUUUGGGAGGCCAAAGCAGGCCAAUCACUUGAGGCCAGGAGUUUGAGACCAGCCUGGCCAAUGUGAUGAAACCCUGUCUCUGCCAAAAAAUACACAAAUUAGCCGGCUGUGGUGGUGUGUGCCUGUAGCCCCAGCUACUUGGGAGACUGAGAUGGGAGAAUCACUUGAACUUGGGAGGUGGAGCCUGCAGUGAGCUGAGAUCGUGCCACUGCACUCCAGCUUGGGCAACAGAGUAAGACUCUAUCUCAAAAGAAAAACUAUGUAUAUAAUCAUAAGAACAGGCACAAAAAAUCAUAUUUAUAGAUAACAAUUAUACUUCCAUUUGACUUUUCAUUUAGGAAAUUUAUCCUUGUGCUAUUAGCAUAAAUGAUAGUUUUUCUAAUAAGAAGAAAUUAAUUUUUGAGGUUUUAUUAUGAUUAUAAGAGGAAUUCUUACCUUUUCUCUAUAGAAUUGGAGAUUCCAGCUGCUAUUAUGGAAGCAUGGUUGCAGUGGGUUUCCAAUGACUUAUGGUUCAACAUAGAAAUGAUAUUGUUGUAAUUGGUUUAGAGUUUCUUUUCUUGCAGAAGGUGCUGUCACUGCCAUAUGGUGCUGCUGUGAAAACAGGAAGAUUAGAUGCUGACUUUAUUCACUGCAACAGUGAUAUCUCUUCUGAUCAGAUGGUAGCUUCUCAGAGUGUACAGGGAAAAGCAAAGUCUCAGAUCCCAGGGGUCACGGAACAAUGGCAGUUCUGCUGGAAUUGUUCAGAGGAGGUUAUUUGCCUGGCCUCAAGUUUUAGUGUCAGCAGCACAUGAAAACAAGCCUCGGCAAAGGAACAAAUGACCAAGAUGCUUCUAGUAAGGACCUUGAUGAGGAUGGAAGUGAAGACAAAAGGGAAGCUAUGAGACUUGAAAUAUGAUGCACCAUUCCACAGUUUUGAAUGUGGUCCUGUGGGAGAAUAAAGACUGUUGUUUAUUUACAUUAA